rnacentral:pre_miRNA from 1 species
AGCUUUACAGCUUUCUCAGAAACUUUGCAGUUGAAGAAAAAUUCGUCCUGGACGAAUUUUUCCUCAACUGCGAAGUUUCUGAGAAAGCUCUAAAGC